rnacentral:lncRNA from 1 species
GGAGAACGCAGCAGGCAGGCAUAGCCUCAGAGACAUCAUGCAUUGAAGCAUAGCUGUUCAAGUUCAAAGCAUGCUUUCUGGGGACCGUGACACAGAACCAAGCAUGCCUGUCUACAGAUGAAUGGAGAGAAUACAAUAUGAAUGUGCACUGUGAAAUACCAUUCCGCCUUUUAAAAGAUUGGGAUUCUGCAACAGUACAGAAGAUGCUUAAAGACAGAGAAGCCAGGCAUGGAGAGACAAGAACAUGAUGAUCUCAGACGCAAACGUCAUCUCCCAGAAGUAGAGCUUGGGGAUAUAGUUGCUGAGGGCUGGAAGGUAGGCCAGAGAUUUGAGGAAUACUGGUCAAAUAAUACAGAAUUCCAUUUCAGCGGUAGAGUAAGUUAAAGAGCUAUGGUACACCCUGUAGUCCCUAACGUUAGAGACAAGUGUAGUAACUCUGCUAGAGUGCAGAAAUAUUUUCGCACAAGAAUUGAUUAAGUGUGUGAAACAAUAUACAGAUUAAUGGCUUUAUUUGGCCAUUACAAAAUGUACGCAUAUUUCAAAGCAUGCUGUAUAGUAUAUAUAUAUAAUUUAUAUGCAAUUACAAUAAAAUGAAGAAAACAAUCUA